rnacentral:tRNA from 1 species
UCCCUACGAAGACGCUCGACAAGCGUUUGAUGUUCGAUUUUAUUUAGUUGCAAUUCUGUUCAUUAUUU